rnacentral:rRNA from 1 species
GAUGAACGCUGACAGAAUGCUUAACACAUGCAAGUCGUUGGCGAAGCCGCGCUUCCGCAGUCUAGCCAAGGCGGACGGGUGAGUAACGCGUAAGGAACUUGCCCUGCAGACAGGGAUAACAGACGGAAACGACUGAUAACACCUGGUAUUGUCAGGCUGGCGCAUGCCGGCCUGAUGAAAGGAGACGCUGCAGGAGAGCCUUGCGUCCUAUUAGCUAGUUGGUGGGGUAACGGCCCACCAAGGCGACGAUAGGUAGCCGGCCUGAGAGGGGGAACGGCCACGAGGGGACCGGGAGGCGGCAGUUGCUCAUACGGGAGGCAGCAGUGAGGAAUAUUGGAGAAUGGGGGCGACCGUGAUGCAGCAAUUCUGUGUGCACGAAGAAGGUUUUAGGAAUGAAAAGUGCUUUCAGCAGGGAAGAAGAAAGUGACGGUACCUGCAGAAGAAGCGACGGCUAAAUACGUG